GAGUUUGAUUCUGGCUCAGGAUAAACGCUGGCGGCAGGCUUUACACAUGCAAGUCGAGCGGGGUAGCAAUACCCAGCGGCAAACGAGUGAGUAAUAUGCAGGAAUGUCCCUUAAGUUUGGUAUAGCUAGCCGAAAGGUUAGGUAAUCCCAAAUGUGAACGAAAGUUUAAAGAAGCAAUUCGCUUAAGGCACAGCCUGCAUCCCAUCAGCUAGUUGGUAAGGUAAUGGCUUACCAAGGCUAAGACGGGUAGCUGGUCUGAGAGGAUGAUCAGCCACGCUGGAACUGCGACACGGUCCAGACAUCUACGGAUGGCAGCAGUGGGGAAUUUUCGGCAAUGGACGAAAGUCUGACCGAGCCAUGCCGCGUGUAGGAUGAAAGCCCUAUGGGUUGUAAACUACUGUGGUAGCUAACUAAAAAAAUGAAGUAGCUAUUAGAAAGAAGUUGCUAACUCUGUGCCAGCAGCAGCGGUAAUACAGAGACUUCAAGCGUUAUCCGGUUUCACUGGGCGUAAAGCGUUCCGAUAGGUGGAUAAGUGUGAUUAUAGUUAAAGACCGAGGCUUAACCUCGUGUAUGCUAUGAAAACUGCUUAUCUAGAAGAGCAAAGAGGUAGCUGGAACUCUACAUGUAGGGGUAAAAUCCGUUGAUAUG
rnacentral:rRNA from 1 species